rnacentral:rRNA from 1 species
UACGAGAGGUCCAAACGUUAUUCGGAAUUACUGGGCUUACAGAGUUCGUAGGCGGUUCUACAAGUGAGGUGUGAAAGCCCUCGGCUCAACCGAGGAACUGCGCUUCAAACUGUAGAACUAGAGGGAGAUAGAGGUGAGCAGAACUGAUGGUGGAGCGGUGAAAUGCGUUGAUAUCAGGAAGAACACCUAUGGCGAAGGCAGCUCUCUGGGACGGUACUGACGCUGAGACGCGAAAGCGUGGGGAGCGAACAGG